GUGUCCCCCAAAUUCACAGUGUGCGACCCCGAGGAGGAGGGCGCGCGCCUCCGCGUCCGGCUGACCGCCUCGCUGACCGCGCUGGGCCCGCUGCUCGCGCUGGGGCUCCUCGUCCUGAUCUGCAGAAAGUACUCGCUGAUGCGGAAGAUCUUCCCGCCCAUCCCUCACAUGAAAGACCCCCUGAGUGACAGCCUGCAGAACAAGCUGAUGAUCUGGGAGGCCGGCAGAGACCCCCGGGAGGAGUGUCCGGUGGCGGAGGUGCAGGUUGUGGGGGAGACGUGAAGCUGGAGGCCGGGCCUCGUCCUCGGGGGGCACCGCACGGCCUGGCCGCGGUUGGACGGAUGGACACGGGUGCCGGGUGGGGGACGGGGUGGGGUGCACCCCAGUGCUGUGUACAUGGAGCUGCCGCUACGAAGAAAGAGAAAACAAAACACGUCGUGUCGUGCUCAUUUCCUAAAUAAAAGAGUUUUCCACCCU